AUUUCUCCAAGUGGUUGCAGAUGACAUGAUUUCCCAAAGUGUUAGAGCUGAAGUGUGUUUCCUUGUGUAUAUAUACUGUGGUUCCUUUAUCCCUUCAUCUGUGGAUAGACAGGUGCAACCGUGUGGUUCCCCACGAUAUGAUUUCAUUGUGGUUUUCUGUCUGAAGAGUAUCCCAGUAUGUACCUGUGGAGCAGCUUCUUUAUCCCUUCAUCUGUGGAUAAGCAGUGCAGGCCAAGGCCCCCUGCCCAUGGAGGUGUGCUGCAGACAGCAGCAGCAGCAGCAGCAGCAGCAGCAGCAGCAGCAGAGGCCUGGCUUCCUGAGGAAUUGCUGGCCGGUUUGAGGAAGGAAGGAAGUCCCACCUACCAUGAUCACCCUCCAGCCUGGAGGAAGCUCCAUGCCAGCAGCAUGGACCAGCAUGGGAGCCAGAGCCCUGCUAAUGCUGCAGCUCAUCACCCCUGCUCAGCAGCCCAGCAGCCCAGCAGCCAUUGCCACAUCCCAUUUCCAGGGCCUCCUGCCCCCAUGCCCCCACGUGCCCAUGGACCGACACACCACUCUUCCUGUUGGCCCAAGGACCUGCUGAAGCUCACACCCGUGGACCACCCAGACUGCCUGCCGCUACAGGAUGCCCUCCGCAUCUCCCAGGACUUCUUUCCGGCAUCAGUGUGGACAUUGACCCCACUGGACUGCAGUCACAGUGGACUCCCAAGGGGCAGGAUCCACCUCUGAUGUUCAGUGAAGACUACCAGAAAAGUCUGCUAGAGCAGUACCAUCUGGGUCUGGAUCAAAAACUCAGAAAAUACGUGGUUGGAGAGCUCAUCUGGAAUUUUGCCGAUUUCAUGACUAACCAGUGUCAGCCCAAGACUACCCCGUCGGUCAUUCUGUUCCUGCCGUCCUGUGAGGAGCCCCAAGCCAACAAGGCCACACUGGUGUGUCUCAUGAAUAACUUUAUCCGGGAAUCUUGAUGGUGACCUGGAAGGCAGAUGGUACCCUCAUCACCCAGAGCGUGGAGAAGACCACGCCCUCCAAACAGAGCAACAACAAGUACGUGGCCAGCAGCUACCUGAGCCUGACGCCCGAGCAGUGGAGGUCCCGCAGAAGCUACAGCUGCCAGGUUAUGCAAGAAGGGAGCACCGUGGAGAAGUCAGUGGCCCCUGCAGAAUGUUCAUAGGUUCCAGCCCCCACCCCACCCACAGGGGCCUGGAGCUGCAGGAUCCCAGGGGAGGGGUCUCUCUCUGCAUCCCAAGCCAUUCAGCCCUUCUCGCUGUACCCAGUAAACCCUCAAUAAAUAUCUUUGUCAGCCAG
rnacentral:lncRNA from 1 species